CCUACGGGAGGCAGCAGUGGGGAAUAUUGCACAAUGGGCGAAAGCCUGAUGCAGCAACGCCGCGUGAGCGAUGAAGGCCUUCGGGUCGUAAAGCUCUGUCCUCAAGGAAGAUAAUGACGGUACUUGAGGAGGAAGCCCCGGCUAACUACGUGCCAGCAGCCGCGGUAAUACGUAGGGGGCUAGCGUUAUCCGGAAUUACUGGGCGUAAAGGGUGCGUAGGUGGUUUUUUAAGUCAGAAGUGAAAGGCUACGGCUCAACCGUAGUAAGCUUUUGAAACUAGAGAACUUGAGUGCAGGAGAGGAGAGUAGAAUUCCUAGUGUAGCGGUGAAAUGCGUAGAUAUUAGGAGGAAUACCAGUAGCGAAGGCGGCUCUCUGGACUGUAACUGACACUGAGGCACGAAAGCGUGGGGAGCAAACA
rnacentral:rRNA from 1 species